CCUACGGGAGGCAGCAGUGGGGAAUAUUGCACAAUGGGGGAAACCCUGAUGCAGCGACGCCGCGUGAGUGAAGAAGUAUUUCGGUAUGUAAAGCCCUAUCAGCAGGGAAGAAGAAAGACGGUACCUGACUAAGAAGCCCCGGCUAACUACGUGCCAGCAGCCGCGGUAAUACGUAGGGGGCAAGCGUUAUCCGGAUUUACUGGGUGUAAAGGGAGCGUAGACGGCUGUGCAAGUCUGAAGUGAAAGCCCAGGGCUCAACCCUGGGACUGCUUUGGAAACUGUGGAGCUAGAGUGCUGGAGAGGUAAGUGGAAUGCCUAGUGUAGCGGUGAAAUGCGUAGAUAUUAGGAGGAACACCAGUGGCGAAGGCGGCUUACUGGAGAGUAACUGACGUUGAGGCUCGAAAGCGUGGGGAGCGAACAGGAUUAGAUACCCUUGUAGUC
rnacentral:rRNA from 1 species